UACGAAGGGUGCAAGCGUUACUCGGAAUUACUGGGCGUAAAGCGUGCGUAGGUGGUUUGUUAAGUCUGUUGUGAAAGCCCCGGGCUCAACCUGGGAAUGGCGAUGGAUACUGGCAAGCUAGAGUGCGGUAGAGGGUAGUGGAAUUCCCGGUGUAGCGGUGAAAUGCGUAGAGAUCGGGAGGAACACCAGUGGCGAAGGCGGCUACCUGGACCAGCACUGACACUGAGGCACGAAAGCGUGGGGAGCAAACAGG
rnacentral:rRNA from 1 species